CUUUAUGCUAAUAAGGCUAAGUAGGCUGUUACUACACACUUGCUGAGCUGGUGCGAACAUGGAGCACGCAAGACUCCUUCUCCUUCUGAUCAUGGGAAACUUCCUCGCAAGUACCGAUCUUUUAGACUGCUCUGUGGAGAAUAACACCACCUGUGACUGCGUUCACAAUGCCACAUUGGACACUGCUGAAUAUUAUGAGAAGUACAGAGACUGCGAUUGGAGUUUGAGGAACAAGGAGGAUAUAGUUCUUCAACUACUAACUCCAGUCCCACAUGUAACUGUCCCAUGCAGCUGGCAUGAAGUUUACUUGAAGUUGAACUGCGACAGCCCAAAGCAUGAAGUGAUUCUGCAUUGGUACAAGUUUGAAAGCAAAACUGAACACAUCAGUUCUGGAGAAACUCCCCUUCAAAGUCAUGUGAGCAUUCUGUGUCUGUGUCUGUGGUGCUUGAGGUACUUACUAUAAAGCACUGAAGGAGGAACACAGCAAGGUAGCCAGCGAGCGCACUCCGAUGCGGGUUGGCAAGAUGAGGAUUGACAAUGAGAAUGCAGAGCAGG
ensembl:lncRNA